rnacentral:sRNA from 1 species
ACCACUUGUUGCCUCGGCGGAUCAGCCCGCUCCCGGUAAAACGGGACGGCCCGCCAGAGGACCCCUAAACUCUGUUUCUAUAUGUAACUUCUGAGUAAAACCAUAAAUAAAUCAAAACUUUCAACAACGGAUCUCUUGGUUCUGGCAUCGAUGAAGAACGCAGCAAAAUGCGAUAAGUAAUGUGAAUUGCAGAAUUCAGUGAAUCAUCGAAUCUUUGAACGCACAUUGCGCCCGCCAGUAUUCUGGCGGGCAUGCCUGUUCGAGCGUCAUUUCAACCCUCAAGCACAGCUUGGUGUUGGGACUCGCGUUAAUUCGCGUUCCUCAAAUUGAUUGGCGGUCACGUCGAGCUUCCAUAGCGUAGUAGUAAAACCCUCGUUACUGGUAAUCGUCGCGGCCACGCCGUUAAACCCCAACUUCUGAAUGUUGACCUCGGAUCAGGUAGGAAUACCCGCUGAACUUAAGCAUAUC